CAACACUUAUGUGUCACGUCUCAUUAGCAACGCGAAUAAACACAUCAUCAUUCAUCCUGUCCAUUUGCCUCUCACUCUGUGCUUGUUACACAAGGAACAGCACAGGACAAGAGGUCCAGAGAUUUCACACACUUACUGGGAAACUUUCAUUUCAUACAGUACACAUGAGUAAUAUCGCUGGUGUCUUGGCAGAGCUUUUGUUGCACAAGACGUUUACAAAGCAUCACGUAUCUGGGGGAAACCUGAGUGAAUGAAGCUGUCUUCAAAGCUGUAAUUGUGUGUUUUCCUCUCGCUGUGCUCUGCUGCUGUUCUCCUGAGAAGCAGUCCGCUCUCCUUGAUCAAAAAGUACCACAGCGAAAGAGCGACACCAUCUAUCUCGUUCCAGCUUUGAGGUGAAAAACAGGGGCAUCUUCACCCGGGGGACGCAUCACGGUUGCUCUUCCUCCUCUUGAUGCUCACAAGAAGCCUCACAGAGACAACAUGGAUGAGAAAGAACGGAAAUUUGAACAUCUACAUUUCCAACUGCUGAGGAAGUUUGUGUGACACAGUCGAAAGCUCCACAACAAUGGACUUUGUGUUCUCAGAGGCACAGAUGAUGUAGACCCGAUCUGCUGGGAUCUGGGAACAGCGCUAAAAAGCAGUCAGGAGCACAACGUUUUCCUGAGGGAUUAUUACCAACACCUCAGGUGCGCUAACUUUCAGUUUUACCUUCAAAUAAAGUGAAAAUCUGGCUGUACUGUAAGUUUGGUUACAACCUGUCUGAUCAUCUUGGUGAGUACUUGGUUAAUUACUCUGUUGAGUACAAUGUUAUCAUUACUGAUAGCAAUGACAGACAAAAAAUAAGAAAAUAAGUUGUAAUAAACUGACUCAUCCUGUAAUUCUAAUUAAAAACUGGUCAAAAGAAAGAGAGCGAACAGUAUUACAGUAAAGCCAGCGCGCCAAAAAUCUGCAACUGGAGCACUGACAUGUCUCAGAAUAUAAUGUAAUUUACCAGACUCCAUUCUUUAUUAAAGUAAGUUUUCAGGCUAAGAGUUGUUGCUGGUGGAUUUGAAGUUUUUGUGCACACCGUUCAUUAGAAACACGCCUUGAGGAGCCAUCUUUGUAAAUGAGGAUCCUGAUGAGCUACUGGGUUCUGGCUGUCUUCGACUGCAGCUUUACUUCUAUAACGACUCUCAUGUGCAGUGUGUGUGUGUGUGUGUGUGUGUGUGUGUGUGGAUUUCCUGCAAAACAAGUCUCUUUAUGCUUGUCUUUUCGAACUCUUUAUUCAAAAAGUGAACAGUACAUUUAUAUUUUUAUUGCAAUCUGGAUUUCUUGCCCCAUCCAGGUUUGUUUUUUUAUCUCAUAUCCGUGUGUAGUAACCCCUGUUUUAAUUUCUUUUGUGUUUUAUUUAGUUUAUUAUUGUUUCAAUACCAAUUUUAAAUGUUUUAUCAUCCAAUUUUUGUUUUUAUCUUAUAUUCUUGUCUACUAUCCCCCUUUUUAUUACUGUUUUAUUACCGUUUUUUUAAAUGUUGUAUCUUUAAUAUUUGUGUAUCCAUCAGCAUGUUUGUUAAAAUCCUUGUAAACCUCUGUUUUUUAGUAGCGCUGUACUAAUAACGAAUAUUACAUGAAUAUACUGUAUAUUACAGUAUAUUAUAAAUAAUGUAAGUGAGAGAGAAAAUGUACUUGUGUUGCAUUUGAAUGAUGGACAAUAGUUACUAUACACAUUUCUACAGCAGUUCUGAUCCCAUUCUCUAAAUUAUCCCUUACAAUGCACUGUGUGCAUUCUUUUAGUGUUUUUAAAGGGAUUUGUCACAUUAGGAGAUGAUAGAUGCUUUAGGCAACAACACCAAGUGUCUCUGCAUCUGCGUAGUGAGGUAACAUGGCAAUUCCACUUGUUACCUCACCAGGCGGCACCCAUGCAAAAGUUCAGCCUGAAAAUAGAAUAAUGGCUGGAUGCCGACCCCCCCCCCCCCGAGACCACGCUAUGAGUAACCAACAGUACAUAACAGCAGUUAACCCCGUGCAGGAGCCAGAGAUAGAAAGGGAGGCAGAGACAGAGCCAAUGAGCAUGUAGCCUGUUGCCUGGUAACUGCCGGCCUGCCUGAAUCCCAUUCCACACAGAGACGAAGUCGAGAGGAGCUGGGAAGUGGGGGGAUGGAUGGAGGAGAGAGAUAGAGAAGUGAGGAGACAGCGACAGAGAGGGGGGAGAGAGGGCAGAAAAAAAGACAAAGCUGAUCCUUCUCAGAUGGCAGAACAUUAUCCACAAUAAUAUGGAAGAGGGGAAAGAGGAAGAGUAAAAACUAAAGAAAGGUGAGGAAAAGAGAAAAAGAGGAGAGGAAACGAAAAGAGAGGAACACAAAAAAGAAAGGAAAGGGUGGGAAAAGAAAGAGAUAUAAACUUAUAUUUUUGCUUAACAAAAGGAGCCAAAGUUCUGUAAAAUGUUUUCUAAACACAGGCAGCCACACAGGAGUUUUACUUAAAUAAAAUACUCUAAAAUUGGCAAAAUUUUGAGUUAAAUUUGGAACUGUCUGAUUGAAGAAUAAAGGCCUUUUCACAUUCAGUUAGUCUUGGUUUCACAUUGCAAUUAUGCAAGCGCAUUAAAGAACAAUACGUGACAUACCUACGUCCUGUCGUCAUCACCUAAAUGAUUUGCGUCUCCCUAUACUUGUAGACGGGCGUGCGUCUGAUGUCGGCGUGUUGUCAAUCCAGCAGGUAGCCUUCUAUCGCAGUUUUUUGAAUGAAUGGAGAAAAAUGAAUGAACAGAUUCAUUUCAUUGCCGUUAUAAUAAUAUUAUUACGGCAUUACUACCAGACCGGUCUCCUCCUCUCUCCAUGUGCUACCGCAGCUCAUUUUGUUUUGUUGUUUUUCCUUUUUCAGGUUCUGACGAUAGCCUGCCAGAACUUCCUGUAAUUGGUCCAUCCAAAAAAAUGUUUUCACACUUGAAACUAAACAAACCAUGGUUCAAUUUGAUCCGGGCCGAGACCACCUCUUUUCUUUUUGUCGGACCAAGGUCUCGGCUGUCGAGUUUUCACACCUGAAAUUUUGGUUCGGAUCAAACUAAAAAGCACUGAGGUUUGAUCCCCUGCCCUAAUGUUUAGUGUCACAUGACGCGGCAGGAUGGCACACAGCCUGCUCUCCUACUGCAGGUGAGAGGUGGCGGCAGACAACAGUAAGACAGGAUGAUUAGAGCCAUUGAGGGAGGAGAAAAGUGAUUAACAGAAUAAAAAGAAUAAUAGAGCAGAUGGGUCUGUCUCUCAUUUCAUGUACAGCAUGCGUCGUUCUCCAUCGUAUUAUUUUUCUGCCAUUUUCACGCCGUUUCUAUCCAGAGAUCUGAAUCUUCCUGUAUCUCCGACUUGUUGCGUCUCUCUUUCAGAGCACAAUGCCCACCACCACCAGCACCACCUCUCCCUCUGCUCUCCACCCCCGCUCCUGAAUGAGGAAGCCUGUGUGUACUGUAUAUGUCUGUGUUGUAUAUGUGUGUGUGUGUGUAUGCGAGUGAAGAACAUGUGGGUGCAUCCAACUGCACUGUUGAGAGUGGCCAUGUGCGUGUCUUUCUCUGUGGGGGUGUGAAAUAACAUCCAUCGCUGUGUUUCGCGGUGUGUUUCUCAUCGGGGCGCAACAAUACACAUACUGCAUACUGCCCACACACAGACAAACACACACCUGUAAUGAGAUGUACAUGCCAGAUUUCACAUACAAUUUGUACUCAUAUAAUCAUUGUUAAUUGUUUAAUAAUUAAUAAUAAUAAUCGUUUUAGUGUCUGAAAAUCACACCUCUAUCGCAGGCCUUUGACUAUACUGUGUGAUGGUGUUUUUUAAAGCCUCAAUCUCAGAGUAAAUUAGUAAAUCAAUGCUGGUCUGGUCUAAAUAUAGAAUAGAGUAGAAUAUACACUUUAUCGUGCUGUGAUUACAAUUUGCACGUGCACGAGGACAAACAAAAGCAGCAUUUACAGCCUCAGAACUGACGUGCAUCAGUCACAGGGUGUUGGUCCUUGUGUUGUGAUCUCCGUCAAUGAGUUUGCAAGUGAAGAAAUGUCCUCUGUGUGAUGAAAUAUGCAUCAACUAAGCAAGUAGGGUGUGAAAGUGGUGGCAAAAGUGACACUGUGCUCUGCUUCCAAACAGGGUUUUCAAAGCAGAACUCCGCCACAGACAGAAUUUACUCUACUCGAAUGAUCUCGGCCGGCUAAAAUAUUAAAAAUGAACAUGUGCAGCCAAACCCAAAAAAAAAACAACAACAAAAAAACAGACUGCUGUGAGAUGAAUCUCUUAAUCUGUAAUUAAUGUUGUUUGGAGGUGGAUUCUCUCUUUGCUUGAUGGUGUUUACGUGUCUAGAAAUGACGUCUUUUCUAACCCAGCGUGGCCUCUUAUGCGGUGGCAGUGUUUAAAUAGCUGUCUAUAUGUCAGUGGAGAUGUUUGAACUGGAUUGCUUGCCUCUCUGUGGAUCUCCUCCUCGAUCUGCUCCUCUGACCACUUUUAUUCAGCUGCUUCGGGAGCGCUGCUGCAGCUAUUUUUGGAGAGGUAGUGGGAGGCUGUGGUCACACCUUUGUACAGGAUGCAGGUAAGGAGCCAUUUAAAUGGAGUUGCCAUUCUCUCGCUCUCUCUCUCUCUUAGUCAUUGUCUCUUUCUGGUUUUUCUUGCUUUUCAUGUUCACAUGUACAGAAGCCAACACGUACACAUAUAUACAAUUUAUUUCCUGUGUACAUUUGCAUGUACAGUACAUCUGUUAGUGUGUGUGUGUGUGUGUGUUUGCUGCUGAGAGAACACAGGGAGGAAAGAGCAAUGCGGUAGCUAUGGAGUCGUAUCCAUGGUGCCGUAACUAUGGCAACAAAGCUUGGAAAGCUAGUGACUUAAUUGGCAUCUCUGAGGCACUCUUGAGCUGCGAUCCAGAAUAGCAACCCUUGACACACUAAUGUUCCCUUCACAUGCCAGACAACACACACGUCAUUAAUGAGGAUGCUAACAAGUUAAUCAAUAUCUCUUAAUGUUUCCUGCCCUUCAGGACAGUGUGUGUGUGUGUGUGUGUGUGUGUGUGUGUGUGUGUGUCUGGAGCUUUAAAUGUGUUUGAGUUAAUCAUAGACAAAGGAAAGGACAGAGACAGUCACAGAGGAGGUAAAUAAUAUCAACAUAAAGUCAAUUUAAAAUG